GAGGGCCACAAUAACAUUCGCCACCGCUAGAUGGCGCUGGCUUCCACUGUGCCCCAUGUGGAAGGCCAGGAUAGCCUCCGCCAUUACAAGAUGGCGCCAGCCUUCGCCGCGCCAGCCAACUCCCUUUCAGGAAGUUAACUGUGCGCAUGUGCAAGAGUGCCUUCAUGCCAGGUCUUUGCCCACUCUGGGGCGUGCCUGAUGAGAUCAUGGGUAAACAACCAAUCAGGUGUGGAUGUGCCACGCUAGGGUGUAUAUAAGCACACCAUGUUGGCGCGCCAAGGCUUCCUCUUUAAGAUCAUAAUAAAGUUUGGUCACAGUAAGGAUUUCUAUGUACCCGCGUGUUUCUUGCCGGCGAGAAGUCACGCGUGGGACAUUUGGUGCCAAGAACCCGGGACACAAAAAAGCUACAUCAUCACCGGUGCCAAGAGGAGGCUCCCUUUCAUGGAAGAAGUCCAGAAGCUGUGAGUGGGGGUAAGACUCUGAGAGACCAUGUUUAGCCUUGAUCUGUUCCAGCUCAGUCCUCUGCCGGAUGCGGCAGGAACCUUUAUGGUUGCUCUGGCCGCCCUCGGGUUGUUUCUAUUGACCUUUGAGUUUCUAGUUACCGCCAAACGGCGUCAGAGGUCGCGUGGGAACUGCCCAGCUGUAACAGCAAAGCAGAGAGUGUAGGGGGAAGGGCGAGGCGGCGGAGUGUCAGAAACAGAGGGUAGUGAAAGGUUGCAACGAGAAAAGGAUCCUGAUUGAUCUCAAGCACCAGGCCCUUCCAAUGCAGAAGUGAAAGGUUGGGGAAAGAACGCCCCGGGUGAGGAGAAGGGAGGAGAUAAAAGGAACACAGCAUUUUGGGAGAAAAAUUUUGUCUUUGUGCCUGUAAGAAGUGUGCUUAAGCUCCGGCGCCGGCUCUCGGGACGCCGCGGCGUCCGUGCACUGACGCGACAGCUUU
rnacentral:lncRNA from 1 species